AGGCUCGUGCUCAAAGAAGAACAAAGGCUUCGAGACGGAUCCCCCGAGCUGCAGCCGGUCGCCGGCCCUAGCAUGCGGCCCACUGUGAGGGGGCCCCCGUAUCCCGCUGCACGACGACGACAUUGCACCGGCGGUUGCCGCCAGGGAUGCUGCGAGGGGACGCGUCGUCGCCCGAGGCGGCAGGCGCGUCGUCUGCUGCCCUCGCAACGACGAGCCGCAGGCGCAGGGACGCAGCCGCCGCGGUCAGGACGCGCGGGGGCCGAGCCGCGUCGUCGCGCUGCAGCGACUCCGAAGAGGACGAGGAUGCGUGGUUGCGUGAGGACGACGGGUACGCGACGCCCCCGCGACUGCCGGGCCCGUCGUCGUCGUGUGACGUGUCGCGUGACGACUACGACGAGGACGACGAGGCGGGCCCCCAUCCUGCUCCGGCGCUUCCCCGCGAUCGACCGGCGGGAGCCGACGUGACGGGCGAGCGACGUCAGCGGCGCAUGCGUUGCUGCGAGCCGGUCGCGCCGAGCGCGGCCGCCGAUCGCCGCGGCGGCUCGUCGGGUCACGAGGCCGGGGCCGCUGCCGCCGCCGCCGCGGCUGGUCGCAGGGCCAUGCCGAGCGGCCUGAUGAAGCCGCUCGUGGUGCUCGCCUUCCCGGGCAUGUACCUCGUCUACAAGAUCACCGAGUUCAAGCGCCAGCAGCAGGAGCACAACCGGCGCAAGGUCACCGAGCGGGAGUUGGCGCACCUUAACCACAAGAUCGACAAGCUGCUCACGAAGCUGGAAGAGCAUGAGCCGGAGCUGGCUACGAGCCAAGAAGAAGAGUGCGUGGUCUGCGUGACGGCCAAGGCGAGCAUGCAGACAUUCCCGUGUGGCCACCGCGUCGUUUGCCGCAAGUGCUUCGUCAAGACCAUCCAGGUGGCCGUGUCGCAGCGCGUGCUGCCCCUGCGCUGCGUCAUUUGCCGCACCAAGAUCGUGCGCCUCAAGCACUCGUCGCACGGCCACGCUACACCUGUCACGCCGGGAGCACGGGCUCUGCUGGCACCUUGCGAAGCGCUGGGACAGACCCGGCCGGCCAACCCCUGGCCGCAGGACCUGCGCGUCCCCGUAGAGCCUCUUCCCGCCAGCCACUACCGGCACAGUGCCGAAGCGUGCCGCUUCCACAGGCACCGGAGCUCCUCCAGUGCCGGCACUUCCGCGCUAGCGUCGCCCGAGGCGGCCUCCUCGAGCACCAGCAUCUCCAUCGGCCGCCGCAUCUCCUCGCCGCAACCGACCAGUUCGGGGGCCUCGAGCCCAACGUCGAGCUGCCCCGCGAGCCCCGAGGACGCUCCCGAGGUGCCCAGAGGGCGCCGCAGCGGACUCACUCGGGCCGUCGUGCACCCGCCGCCCCCCGUUCGUUCGCCACCAACGCAGCCACCGAAGACCGCCUGCCCGCCACCGCCUUUGCCGGCGCGGAGCCCGAGGACCCCGGUUCCCGAAACUCCGAUCGGGACGCCAGAGAAAGAAGUGGCCGAGUCGAUGACGCCGCCACCGAAGACACCCGCCGCCGCGAAGACGAAGAGUCCGGUCGGAUCACCGAAAGAACGCUCCACUCCCGCGCCGACCAAGACGUCACCGGACCGGCCAGCUCCACCUAGGCUGCAACCUCCGCCGCCGGUCAGGUCACCGUCUUCGCCAACGGCGCCAUCGACGACGGCGAACAACACGGCGCUGUGCCCGGCAGCGUUGUCCAGCGUGGUGCUGGCCCCUCCUCCUGCCGAGGUACGCAGCCGCCGCGGUGGCCAGUACCGAGUGAGCCCGGCGGGCGGCGGCACGGCGCCGACGUCACUGCCGCUCACGGUGAGGCCGCCGCCGCCCAAGCCGCGGCCGCCGUCGCGCUUCGAGAGGUUCCGCGACAUGCACGUGCGGCGCCCCACGCUGCUGCUACCGAUCCCGGAGAAGGAAGAGUCCGAGGCGCUGCUCGAAGCGGCCUUCUGCCGCGUGGCGCCUGGUUCCUCCGACCUGCUUGUCAGCGCGUCGUCGCCCAAGAUCGUGCUCCAGGACCGAGCGCCUUUGCUCCAGCCGGAUUCACCGGACCGUCGCCGGACUUCGCUGCGCAGUCAGCUGCGUUCCAAGAUGGCGGGCUUCCCGAGUCUGCUGGGAUCGCCGCUGAGGGCGCUGCGAGCCGGCGCACGCCAUAGGCGCGUGCCAGACGUAAACUAGACGCCGGCUUCCUCCGACCAACGGAGGCUUGAUUGCCACGAGAGGAGGACCUCCGCGCGAAGGCCUCCCCUUCGCGACGGAGGUCCCCGAGGCCAGUCGCGGCCCCCCGACGACAGCACGGCGAGAGGCCUGCGACGACCCUUCAAAGUAACCCCGCGGCCCCCGCUCAACAAGAGCCGCCACUGUGAAGCAGCGGCCGAGACAAGACACCGAGGACCGGACGCACGGCCCGGAGCUGCCCGCGGGGUCCAGCGGACGCGCACAACGAAACCAAGGCGACGAUAACGACGCCUGCUGGCUGGCAGCGCCCGAGGCUGCCUCGUGACGAGAACGUGCCAAAGAGGGGCCUCCCCUCCCAACCCCCUGGUGUCUGUACAUAGGCAAUCUCUUCCCGUAGUCUUCCCACAGAGUCGUCCACCCGAGUUCAGUAUUGAGUGUCGUGCAGCCGAGGCCGCGGCGGCCAUACCGCGCCAGUGCCAUGCCGCUUAGGAGGGAGGAAGGAGCGGCAUCGUACGCUCACAUUUGGCGCGCUCCGUCGUGCAUGUUGUCACGGUGGUCAGACUACGCGUCACUGAACGGAUAUAAAGUCAAAGAGGCAAAAUUGCCGAGCCGGUCGAGGUGGUUCUUCACUCAAGAAGCAGGACGUAGUGGCUUGCCACGCUUUUAUGCUGAAGGGAGGUACCGCGAAAGUACCAGUAGUGCGCCGACGUAGCCGCUGGAAGGCAUUAUAUAAGAGCUAGUGUUGUAUAAGAGCCGGAAUCGCGUAGUAUUUGCCAAGACAUCCUGUGUAGCCUAAUACUGAUGGCUCACAGCGUGCGACAGCACAGGGCGAAACGAGUGUUGUCACUACGCUCCAUAAGACAGCAGGUUUUCCACAAGCCUCGGAUAUUAUUUUAAAUGGAAGGCUUAUUGCCUAUUCCCAGGACACUCAUCCAAAGAGAAAUACAGAUAGAAAGAUUUGUCAGGUUCGGCGCUGCAUACACUGUUCCAACGCAUGUUAAUGUUUGCAUUCUCCUGGAGCUAUUUCAAUCGCCGCAUUCGUUCGCCCAAACUUUCACUGCAGGAAAGAAAAGAAAGAAAAUGAACUGCCAGAGUCGACUGCGCCGAUAAACGAUUUACGAAGCUGCGCUAAUUGUUGCUGGCUGUUCAACGUAGUAACUUCUAUGAUGAAAGAAAAGCACUACAUGACGGAGCAAGCUUCCUUUGAGCUUUCUGUCUGCUCCUCCCUCUCUGUCUCUGCGUACUUCUUGGCUACGACGCCCGGAGAGAGAUCUCUCAACGAACGUACACCGUCUAAAUGGCAACGUCUCCGAAGCUGCAGGUUUGUUGAAACAGCAGCGGUUAUCCGCAAACACGUACGGCCAGCUUUGUGCCGGCAGUCGGCGGAGCCGUGUUGGGAUCAGCGGUGUGGCGUCACUUGGCAGCAGUGCCAGCGUAUUGGAAGGGCGUGUUACAAGGAGGUCAUCUCAUGGUCCACAUAGAGAAUGCAGCCACGCGUAGCGGGGAUGUUGCCGCGCGUUUCUCGAAAGACGUCCAGUGCCUGCGUCACGGCCGUUGAACAGGGUGCAGAAGCACAUCAACCGGUAGAUAGCUUGUUUCCGUUGACUCAGAUUCCUUUGCUACCAACGGAAGGAAAGUCUUUCGUUGCUUUCAGGCCGGCCACUCUCACAUGUCGUAGCCCCUUCAGUAUUGAGGUUUGCUGUGAUCAAGACAAGUAUCAGCCAUAAAUAGUCAGGCUCGUUUACCUCGAGUUGUACUACCGGAAAAGUUUUGGUAUCUACAAGGGCGCACUAGGAGCGAUUGAGCGAGUAUAUAAGGGACGCUGCUCAGACACAGGACCUUGCGGUGACAAGGAGACAGCUGAGACAAUGACAGAACGGGCGGCAUGUCCUGCUUCGCGUGUCAGCUGCGCCGACUCGAAACUGCCCGUUCAAAGAAACCCUAAAUCAGGGGUCUGGUUGUAGGUGGCAUAGUAGCGAGCUCAACGUAUUAAUUUCUUUUUCUUUCACGUUGGGCCAGUGUCGACCACCCUCCGAUAUGCAGGCGCGGCCGCCGCGGACCUCGGUGCAGUCGGUGUGCCUUAGGCCAGUGCUCCGCCGUCGGAGUCUCCACGCUCUUCAGGACUUCUGAAGACACGUCCGCGUUGAGUCCUCUUCCAAGGCUGUCAUGUUCAUUCGGUCACCGCGCCGCGCUGGGGCGACAGUGACACCGUCUGCGUGCUUUUAAGCGCAACGUCGCACACGUCGACUGACGCUUACAGUUUGUCAAGCAUCGCGUGAUCAGUCUGUACGAGUUGUCGGUUCACUUGCGUGACGGCACGAUUGAAAGCUCAAAGGCUUCGUGUUAUCUACGUGGUUUGGGUUGGAGUCGGGCCCAGCAUAAUUGCUCCGAAGAAGACUUGACAGUCAGGCGCAGCCUGUGAAAGGCGUACCUCCUGUAUCUCGUUGCCCUAUAAGCUGCUUCUAGACGGUUGACUAUAUAUAAAUAGUAUCGCAAUUUAGAGUCGACGUGUAUUUUAACGAUACGAAACUAACCGGCGUACUCGCUGGGAACUGUUGUUACUGGUGAAGAGCUGCUAAAGGAACAAAGGUGUUGAGAAUGAAACUACCACGGGUGUAGUCGCUAUUUGCGCCAGAGGGCACCGUGAAACUGGUUCUGCAUGGGAGGAAACUAUAGGCAGCUAGUGGUAAUAGUCUGAUGGUGAAGUUUCGAUUUGUCUUCAGUGGUGGAUUGAACCGGCAGGGAUAAUGACAGUCUCGAAUUAACGCGGGCAUCCGCUUUUCAGCACGUCAUAGCAUUAAAGCUAUGCUACGUUCUUGGGUAUAGGGAAAAAAAAGAAAAGACAGAUGACAGAACCACAUCAGAAAUUUGACUGGGUGCAAUAUUCGUCGAUCCCGAGCUCUCAAUACCGAGCCAUGUGUGUCCUGCUCCGUUUUGAGCAGCGGGCAUACUCUCAAGCAGGGGAAACGCACCGGGCGCGUGCCGAGCGAGGAAUCCGCUCUCAACGUGACAUCUCCACGAGUGCAUGAAGUUGCGUGGAGCCUGGAUGAGCAGAAUGUAGCAUAAGAUAACGAUAAAAACUGGGCGGCAAGGAAGCAUUCCGAACUAUAAUUUUGCAUUUUAAAUGGAAACAGCGUUAAGACAAGCGCCCUCAACCAGGAUAACACGUUGUCCUAAAGCAGUGCAUUUACAGAAAGUACACUGCGUUCUAGGCGUUCGUCUUGCUGUUUUCGAUGGCCCACAAAUGGAGUUCCACGUUUCCCAAGGGCAGUUGAAUUAUAUAGGACGUCGCAAUGGGCAAGAAGUAGCAUUUUUUUAAAUCAGCAUAGUACAACUUUCUCUGAACUGCCACACACAGUAUGUACGAGUCGCGCGUGCUGUUUUUCACGCCGACCUGUACAGCGUUUUCCUAUCAGGAGCGAUUCAUUCCCGAAGACCCGCUCGAAGGCACACUUCGGUGCAUGCGUACACACGAACAUCGACGCGUUCCCGCAAUUAUUCUAAGCCACUGGUGAUUCACUGCACGGUCGCACUCGAUUCCGCAUUUAUCACGCUUUCUUCUUCUUUCGCAUGAUUACGGCGUACCUUCGCGUUUAAUACUAAAUCUUCCAUCAUCAGUUCCACCAUCAGUUAAAGGAAUGCAGCCUCAAACAUUUUUCCAUAUUAAUUACUGCUCCCUUACAAAACAAUACUACCGCAUAUUCCCGAGUCAUCGCCCACCCCAACAACGCCUAUAAAUCGCACGAGAAAGUGGAGUUUGGUGGUGUCUCGGCGUCUCAGCACAAACACUUAAUGGUCUCAGCACAAACAGUUAAUGAACUGAACAGAGAGUAAUACAGGGCAUGACUAACACUUGACUAACAGUCAUGUCCCUUGCUUCGUAACUAUAUAUCGUUUCACCGAGGAAUUUUCGUGAUGCGUGGUCAUAUCGGAGAGUACUACAGCUUGCUUCGGAGAACUCACGGUUUUUCAAGCGCUGCUUAUGCAGAGUCAUUUGCGAAUGCCACUGGCCCAUCCAGCUCGCAUUUACCGUAUGCAUGCAUUCACGUGGGGUGUGCACAGGUAAACAACAGCCAAAUUUCCGUAUAACCCAGUGAAUGCAGUAGCUUCAAUGUUCAGGAAUGGGCAAUCUCUCAGUCUACUUCACGAAAAUGGUAUUCUCCGCAGAUAAAGGAGAUGAAUGAUCUCUGUAAGUGGGCGAUGACUCGGAAUGUGCACGGUAAUUUAUUGAUAAACAAAAGAGGAAAAAAAAGCACACAACCCUCGCUUCUCUGUUCUUGCGCCUUCGGCUUCAACUGCGCAAACGUACGUGCGCCUAAGCUAAGCCUAACUAUGUACAAUUCACGAUCAUCUUCCCCUGUUAUGUAUAACGCUGUGGUAGACACCGUGAACCAUAAGCAGUGUGCAUUUAUUACGACGUUAAGCUCCUAUAGAUUUCAGAUCAGAACGGGGACGAUCAGUCUCGCUCCAGUGUCUGCGAUGUGCUGGGCUUGCUCAUCAGCGCGGUGCGGGUGACCCUUGGGAGCGCAGGCGACCGACGAGCGUGGAAACUCUGACGGUCUCUUUCUUCGCGGAGCGUACAGAGAUGCUAUAUACACUCACUACACACUGUUAUUCGACGGGGGCAAAUAAAGGAUGUUAGAGAA